CUGCAGUAAAUAAGAUGUGGUUGUUGUAGUUAGGGGUUUGAUCAGGGACACAGUGAUGGUGGAGUUUCAGUAUUACAAAGCAAUGGAGAACCUGAGUGUGUUUCAGAGUGUGUGUGUUAUAAGGGUGUUUUAUGUUCAGUGGAGGGAGGGGAGCUGUUUUUGCACAUGGAACAGGGUGAGUGAAUGGAAUAAGUUUCCUUUCUGACAGAUUUGUGUUUUUUUCAUAUGAUCGUGGUUUUGUGUUUUAUUGUGCCUUUGUUUUUAUAUAUGUGAUGUCAUUGGUGUGUUAAGAGUGGAAAUAAAGGAUGGUUAAAAUUCAGAAUUCUGUUCUGCUGUUCUUACAGUGUGGACCAUGGAGGAGAGAACAGGACCAAACCAGGACCCAGGAAAUACGGCUGUCAGCUCACACUGGAUCCAAACACAGCGCACAGAGAGCUGUCUCUGUCUGAGGGGAACAGGAGGGUGACACACACACCGG